AAAAAGUUUAAUUUUAGUUUAAGGUUUUAUUUAAUUUUUUAUUUACAUGUAAAUUGUAGUUUGAAAAUAAUUUUAAUUUAAAUAAUUUAAAUUUUAAUUUUUAUUCGCAGUAUAAAAUUUUAAUUAUUUAAGAAAUUAAGAAUUAUAAAUAAAUUUUAAUAUUGACAAAAUUUGUGCCAGCAGUUGCGGUUAUACAAAAAAUAUAAAUAAAAUUUAUUAGUUGAUAAUAAAUUGUUUAAUUUUAAUUAAAAAAAAAUUUAUUAGGUGAAAUUUUAAAUUUUAAAGAUUAUUAAUUAGGUUUAUGAAUUUGUGAAAUUUUAAUAUUAAACUAGGAUUAGAUACCCUAUUAUUUAAAAUGUAAAAUAUAUUGAUUAAAGUAGUAAUAGUUAUGGUCUUGAAAUUUAAAAAUUUUGGCGGUGUUUUAGUCUAUUCAGAGGAACCUGUUCUAUAAUCGAUAAUCCACGAUAAAUUAUACUUAGUUUUAAAAAUUUGUAUAUCGUCGUUAUUAAAUAUUUUAUAAGAAUUAAAUAUUUAAUAUUUAUUUUUUGAGUUAUUACAGAUCAAGGUGCAGUUUAUAAUUAAGAAGAAAUGGGUUACAAUAAAUUUAUUUAUAUGGAUUUUUAAAUGAAAUAUAAAAUGAAGGUGGAUUUGAAAGUAAUAAAGUUUAUAUAGAUUUUAUGAUUUUAGCUCUAAAAUGUGUACAUAUCGCCCGUCGCUCUUAUUAUAAGAUAAGAUAAGUCGUAACAUAGUAGAUGUACUGGAAAGUGUAUCUAGAAAGA
rnacentral:ncRNA from 1 species